UGGCUCGAUCCAUUGUAAGAAACAAAAAAGGAAUACGUAAUUAGGUACAGCGUUCUCUCCAAAGCCCUCCUCCCCUCUUCACAAAACUCCUCGAUUCGGAGGGGGAUCGCCGCCACGCCACGCCGCCACCCUGCUCUCUGUCUCCUCCGAUCCGCGGAUCACCGCCACCGUACCUGGAUUCUCCGUCUCCUCUGAUUUUGACGAUUGCCCGUUCCAAUCGUACAGAUCCCGGGCGUAGCUCCGCCCUCUCUCCCCGAUCUUCACCCUCUCCUCCCACCGCACCUCAUUCCUUGAUCUCCACGUCUCUGCUGGGUUCCUCCGCCACCGCCACCGAUCUCCAGGGCUCCCUGGGGAUCCAUUCAAAGAUAGAUCGCCGAGGUACAAAGUUGUAUAUCACAAAGUUGCGGAUUGAUUCCUCAUAUUUAUUUGGUGUUGGCGACAAACCAGAGGCAAAUGAUAUUUAGUGACACUGCAGUACUUCAUCCACUGUCUGCUAAAACAAGUUCUAUUAUAUCACCCCUGAAAGGGAAGACAGCAUGCGGCUUUCCUUGUCUCUGCAAGAUCUAAAAUCAUUCUCUAAAUUAAAUUCAGGAGGGGUGGAUGACCUUGUAAAUGAUAGGAGUUAUGGACGUGCAAAACCUCUUCGUUCUCUUCAAAGGGAAGGUGCUGCAUCAAGCUUUUCGAAGGAGAAAUCCUCUCCGUCAACACCAACCAAACGGAAGAUAUGGGUACGAGCAACAAUAUUUGUCAUUACAGUUCUAUUAUUGUUCUCAUUGAUCUUACUAUUCUCAAGAUUCUUUCGUACUUAUUGGUCACGUGAGGCAUCUGAGUAUACCGUUGUACUCGAUUGUGGUAGUACUGGGACACGGGUUUAUGUGUACAAGUGGGCUGUUGAUCAAACUGAAGGCACUAGAAAUUUUCCUAUUGCAUUAAGGUCUUUACCUGAAGGUCCUCAGAGAACUCCUGCAACACAAAGUGGUCGUGCAUAUCAUCGUAUGGAAACGGAGCCUGGUUUUCAUAAACUUGUUCAUAACGAAUCUGGUUUAAGGGCUGCUUUGCAGCCACUGCUUCAGUGGGCUGAGACGCAAAUACCAAAACAUGCUCACAAAGGUACAUCUCUGUUUCUGUAUGCUACAGCAGGAGUUCGAAGGUUACCCAGUUCUGAUUCAGAGUGGCUGCUGGAGAAGGCAUGGACCAUUCUGAAGAAUUCAUCAUUUUUAUGCAGGAGAGACUGGGUUAAUAUUAUAUCUGGCAUGGAGGAAGCCUAUUAUGGGUGGAUAGCUCUUAACUAUCGUAUGGGUUUCCUGGGUUCUUUACCAGUUGGAAAAACAUAUGGUUCACUUGAUCUGGGUGGUUCAUCAUUGCAAGUUACUUUUGAAACAGAAACGCCCACACAAGAUGACACAGGCAUAGAAUUGAGAAUUGCAUCUGCUAGUCACCAUCUUAGUGCUUAUUCUUUAUCAGGAUAUGGAUUGAACGAUGCAUUUGACAAAUCUGUGGCUCAUCUUUUCAGAAAGAUCGUGGGUACGACAGAUAAUAUUAAUAAUGACAAGUUACAGCUUAAACAUCCUUGCUUAAAUACUGGCUAUAAGGAGGAGUAUGCAUGUUCUCGCUGUACUUCAGCUAGCUUAGAAGGAAGUCCUUUGAUUGGAGGGAAAACCAUGACCAAAGGUCUGACUGGAACAACUGUUGAACUGCUUGGUGCUCCUGAAUGGGAUCAAUGCAGUGCACUUGCAAAAUUAACAGUUAAUCUGUCUGCAUGGUCUAACCUUAGUUCUGGAGUUGACUGUGAACUUAAACCUUGUGCUCUCAGUGAUGGUUUGCCUCAUCCACAUGGGAAAUUCUAUGCCAUGUCAGGUUUCUAUGUGGUUUUUCGGUUUUUUAAUUUGUCUUCUGAGGCUUCUCUUGAAGAUGUGCUAAAAAGGGGUCAGGAUUUUUGUGGAAAAACAUGGGAAGUUGCAAAGAAUAGUGUUGCUCCACAACCUUUCAUAGAACAAUAUUGCUUUAGAGCCCCUUAUGUUGCAUCCCUUUUGAGGGAUGGGUUGCACAUUAAGGAUAGCGAGGUUAUAAUUGGUUCUGGUAGUAUUACUUGGACCUUGGGGGUAGCCUUAUUGGAGGCUGGACAAACAUUGUCCAACAGAGUUCCACCACAGGGUUAUAAUAUAGUACAUGCGGACAUACAUCCGGCUAUUCCUCUAUUAUUGCUUUUGAUGUCAGUUGUAUUACUUUGUUGUGCACUAUCAUGUGCAAGCAACUGGAUUCCAAGAUUUUCCCGAAGAUCAUACCUCCCACUUUUCAGGCAUAACAGUGUCACAAACUCUGUUCUUAAUAUCCCUUCCCCUUUCAAAUUCCAGCGGUGGAGUCCUAUUAUUUCAGGUGAUGGAAGGAUAAAGACACCACUCAGUCCUACAAUUGGUGGUUCUGGGCAGCACCCAUUUAGCAUGCGACAUGAUUUGGGAGGCAGCAGCAUACAGCUUAGUGAAUCUUCUGUGCAUCCCUUGGUUGUUUCUCAUAGUUCUUCAUCUGGUAGUUUAGGCCAAAUGCAGUUUGGCAAUGGUGCGGGAACCUUCUGGCCACCUCACCGGGGUCAGGCAACACUUUCGAGCCGGAAAUCUCAGUCAAGAGAAGAUCUCGACUCUUCAUUGGCAGAAGCUCACAUGGUGAAGAUUUGACCUAGAGGUUGCACUGCAGACCUGUUGAACUCUCAUGUUUGGAACGACAAGCUUUGAUGAAUUCCAUUUGGGAGGCUUUUCUUCAAUGAGAGCAAUUAACUUUGAAAGAUGCUCCAAAUUGAACCGUACCAUGGACCACAGCCUCAGCUUUCUUCUUCUCCAUUCCUCCUUGAGUUUGUUUGACAGAUCAUGUUCUACCAAACUACAUGUAUAGAUGGCAGUGGACACCAGCACAGUGUCCAAAGGAUCCUCUCAAGGAGUGUGACAGGCCACCAUCAACACACACACAAAGCUGGAUCUUUCUAUGCUGGACUUGGAAACCAACUUGUCCAAGACUGAUGACAAGUUAUUGAUUAGAUUAAUCGAUUGAUUGAAUGCUGUUAUCUUUUGCAUGCUCAGAGCUAUUGGCCUUUCAGUUCUUCCAAUUGAAGAUUUCCUAGACUCACCAUCAACCUUGCUGAGAGACCACAAAGGUAUUAUCUCUUCCAAUGCUAGCUUGUGUCAUAUGCCACAAAUUUUGGUUUCUUUCACACUAAUCUGCUGAUAGUUUGAUGUCCUGAAACACUGGUUUAGGAUUUGCACUGGCCAUUUAUAAUAUAUAGCUCACUGUUAACAGGGCCAGUUACUAUUUGAUGAAGAGAAUAGCAAAAAGUGUAGAGAUUAAGAAUGUUUAUAACCAACAAGUAUUAUGGUUGUGAUUCAAUCAAUGACACAAACAUUUUAAAUCA